GCCGAACUUGAGCGUCUGCAGCUGCGCGGCAGCCUCCACCACCUCCAUGGCGCCGCACGGGCCUAAGACGAGCUCGAGGUUCUCCUAAGAAGACGCGCACGCCUUCACGCCGCACUAAAACUCGCGCGUCUCUCAGGCUAACAACACAUUUAAAUGUACCCCAGUUUCGAUAUUGGAAGUUUUAUUUGGUGACAAGUGAUGGCCAGUUGGGGCUCUGUCUCCUCCUUCAUUUGGUAAUAUCUUUUAUAUAUAUAUAUAAUAUGUGUGUAUAUAUAUAAUAAUAUAUAUAUAAUAUGUAUAUAUAUUAGAAAGUAGGAAAAGAUUUUUACCAACUACCGACUGAGAGAGCUAAUAUACAAAAUAUAUAAAGAAUUCAAUAAACUAGAUAUCAAGAAAACAAAGAACCCAGUUUAAAAGUUUGGUACAGAUCGAAACAGAAUUCUCAGAAGACCUCCAAUGGCUGAAAGACAAAGAAAUGUUCAACAUCCUUAGCCGUCAGGGAAAUGCAAAUCAAAAUUAAUUUGAGAUCUCAUCUUACACCUGUCAGAAUGGCUAAGAUCCAGAAACAAGUGACAGCUCAGCUCGUGCUGGUGAAGAUGUGGCAUAAGGGGAGCACUCCUCCAUUGCUGGUGGGAGUGCAAACUUGUACACCAACUAUGGAAAUCAGUAUGGCAGGUUUUCAGGAAGAUAGGAAUCCAUCUACCUCAAGCCCCAUCUAUAUCGCUCUUGGGCAUAGACCCAAAGGAUACUAUGCUUCCUCCCACCACAGAGACACUCGGUGAACCAUGUUUAUUGCUACUCAAGUCCUAAUACCUAGAGACGGGAAGUAACCUAGACGCCCAACACAUGAGUGGAUAAAGAAAAUGUGCUACAUCUACACAGUGCAGUAUUGCUCAGCAUAAAAAAAAAUCAUGAAAUUCUGGAGCAAAUGUUUGUACGUAGAAAAAAGGUCAUUCUGAGAGAGGUAUCCCUGACUCAGAAAGACAAGUAUGGUAUGUAAUCGCUUACAUAUGGAUUUUAGCUGUGUAAUCAAGAACAACCAUGCUUCAAUCCAUAGAACCACAGGGCUUAGAUUAGAGUACAGAUCUUGUUAGGAGAGGGAAUUAGAUCAUUACAGAUGGAUGGGGCAGGAGCUGGAGCAGGCAGAUCAAAUGGGGGUGGGGAAAGAGGGGGAACAAACAAGGGAGGGAGGAUGUGCAGAGAUGGCGAAAAUUAUGGACCCCUUGAAGGGUAGUAUGGAAAUCUAAUACACAGAUUCUUUUAUAUCCUGGAACAGGCCAAUUUCGUCCUGCCUGUGGGUAAAUUAGGCACACAUUUAAGAUGAAAGUGGUCAGUUCAUUUGAAUGCUAAUGGGGAGGAAUCCUGAUUGUUCCAUGGGACCCACAGAUUGGAAAUCCUGAAAGCAAGGGAGAGAGACACCAUUAAAAAGUUCCAAGGGGGCAAAAAGAACCAGGUAGUAAAAAGAAUUGCAUUUUAGUUUUUUACCUCAGACUAGGUUUAUGAAUUCAUCAUAAAACCUGAGCUGAAUACGGGUUCCCUCAAGAUUUUUAUAGACGUUUCCUUGUCUUUAUAUGUGUAAUCCUCAACAACUACCUACAGAGCCGGGCUGCCUUGCUCCUGUCUCCUGUCAGUACCUUGGCUAAUCCUGCCUCAUAAACUCUGCUUUACCGGGACUAUAGCAUCCUUUAGCUGGGGCUUGCUGCUGUGAACCGGCCACCACCCACCUGUGUCACAUUUACUGAACUAAAUGUGACAGUACUAGGAGGCAGAGUUGCCAGAAAAAAGACCGCAGUUCAUCUGAACUUAGCCAACACAAGGUGGACACAGGAUAAUUCAUGCAGUUCCUCUGCUGUGUUUGACUUUUGUUCAUUUUCAGACUUCUGGGGUUAAUCCCCUUUUUCUAAGUAGUAGUUUGAGGAAUAAUCCAAGUGUUUCUGUGCGUGACCUCUAAUUUAGUCGCGGAGUUACUAAAAUGGAUUUUUCUUUUCCAGGCACAAUAUAAAGCCACCUGAAAGUUAAACAGAGGUCAAUCAAUAGACGAAUGGUUUCACAAAAUAGCAAAUGUGGCAGCUGUCAACAUUUCCAAUCUGGGAAAGAUGCUAUCAGAACAGAUGUUUUGUGGUUUGUGUGCUGGAUGGGAGAAAAUUGUUUUCACCCAGCUUCACUGAGAUUUGCUGAUGGGUGACUGAAAAGUUCUUACAGGAAAUAUUGUAUUUUUGUCUUUUAUUCAAAAAUCAAGUGUGUCAAGGUUAUUUAUUCCCAGAAUUAAAUUAUAAUGCCAAUCAGUAGAUUAGUUGGUGCAGGUAUCUCUGGAAAUAAAAUACUUGGAUGACAGAGAAAAGAGAUACUUUGGCCUAAUUAACCCUGGAGUUUUAUUGUCACAUGCAAUCUUGUAUUUUGAUGAAAUCAGACAAUGGCAUUUCUCCAGGCUUCUUUUCUCCUGCGGUCCGGUGAGUAACCCACUUCUUAAUACUUCUAAAAGUCUUUUACUUGUAUUUAUUACGUGUGCCUACCUGGUGUGCAAAUGCUCAUGCUUGUCGUGUGUCCAUGCCAUGGAUCCUGUGUGGAGGUCAGAAGAGUUCCCCCGACGUGGGUUCCAGGGAGCAAAUGAGAUCUUCUUCAUCAGGUGACAAGUACCCUUCUCACUGAGCCGUUUCUCCUGCCACCUUUCCAUUCCUGAAUCUUGCCUUCAUGCAAAGGCAGAGUCCCUCCGACCAAUAACCAUUUUUACUGCUUACCAGUCAAGUAUCAUGUUAAGAAAUACUGCUUUGCUAAUUGCAUGCAACCCACUUCAACUAUAUACUCAAUUUCCUCGUUUAAGCGGUUGGCUUAAAACCUUUUUAAGAGCUGAGCUUGGUGAUACAUGCCUACAAUUCCAGCGAUUCGGGAGGCUGAGGCAGAAGGAUCAUAAGUUCAAGGCCAGUCUUGAGUACUAGCAAGAGCCUUUCACAACCAAAAGAGAGCAAAGCAAAGCCCACUAGACUGUUAUUAGUUUUUAUGCAUAUUUCAUAUGGGAUGUCUCUACCUUCUUCUUUGUCCCCGUUAUUUCCCUAGACAGUUUCACUUGUACUUUCAUUCUAAAUGUAGACACAUGCUUUCUAUGUGACAAUGUAAAGUCUAGGAGCUCCAACCGAAAUCAGAGAAAACCAGUAUUUAUCGUUGUAAAACCGGCUUAAAAUUGCUUGAUACGGUUUUCUCGUUACAUCCAUUUUUCCACAAGCAACAUAGCUUUAUUCUUUAAAGUUUAAAACCGUUCCAUGUAUAUAUUUGCCAUGUUUUCUGUAUAUACUCCUCUGUUGUUGGAUACCUACCUUGGUUCUAUAACGUGGCUGUUGAGGAUAUUGCUGUAAUAAACACUGAUGUGCAGGGCUCUCUGAGAAAGGCCGAUGUGGAGCCCUGCAGGUAAAUUCCCAGGGCUGCUGAGUUAUAAGGUAGUUUCAUUUACAGCGUUCUUGGAAGCUUCGACACUGAUCUCCAUCCAGGCUAGUCUAGAGUACAUUCCCAUCAGCAGUGAGUAAAUAUUUUGGUCCACAUCCUCCCCAUGAUUUAUUUUUUUUAUUUUAUUUAUUUUUUAUGAUUGACACUAGUAUGGAAUGUAGUUUUCCAGUCUGAUUCAGUGGGAGCUGAUUGAGUAUUAAAAGAGAUUUGGUCUUGAAGGUAGCUUGCUAACUCCUAGGCUAUCAGUCUCUCUCUGCCGCUGUUGUUUGUUUGUUUAAAUAUGUGUGGACCUCAUCCGAAAGCACUUUGGAAAUAUACAUUCCUGUGAUGCACAGGGUCAUUUACUUAAUUAUAUAAAUACACUACAUUGCUAUUGUGUUGAGUUAAAAUUUACAACAGAAGUAGGAAGUCAAACUGAAAGUGUAGAUGGAGUUCUGACUGAUAUGUAAUGUGCUAUCAACACAAUUCAAACUUUAAGUGUAAAAACUUAAACUAAUGGCACAGAAGCUGUUUUACUCUUAUCUACCACAUCAUUUCUUUAAUAAAAAAAUUUUUUUAGUCAGACUAAGCCUGCCUGGAAUCUCAGCAGUUGGAGGCUGAGAUGGGAAGAUUAUUUCUACAAAAUUAAGGUCAGCCUAGGCUACAGUGAGUUCCAGUCCAGCAGGCACAGAAUAGAAUGGAAUCUACCUUUAGGAUGUGAGAAGCCAUCCUCUGCUCCCUUAAGACAAUCCAGCUGAGUAGGUUAAUCACCUGACCCAGGGAAGUGGGCUCUGUAAGGUACACUACAGAGGGCAAAGAGAGUACUGUCCCUUUAACUGGAUACUGGUCUUUUCCCUCCCAGAAUUCCUACUACCUAGUGCCACUGCUACUCCACCAUGACCUUGGGUCUGCCUGAUGCAACUUCGUUUUCCCCCUGUGUUUUUCUUUUAGAUGCUGUCCAGAACCUCCAUAUUCUUUCCCUGGUAUUUUGGGCUUUUUACUCUGUCCCUGAAGGUCCCCUCCACAUCAUGUGCCUGCUUCUUUGCCUUGCGGCUGUGCCAACUCCACUCUAACAAUAUGGGUUUUUCUUUCUCUUCUCAGUCUUCCUCCUCCAGGCAACCGCCAAGAUUUAUAGCUUUCCUGCCUGAAGUUUUCUUAAACUUAGUAACAUUGUCUUCAAGCUUUUGACUGAAUCCAUUCUUAAAUUCUUUUCUUGAGUCUAAACUCCAAAGAGGACUCUGGUUUUCAAUAAUGCUGCCAAGGAAGAAGGAAAGAAAAAGAGAAAAAGGGAAAGAGAAAAAGGGAGAGGAAGUGAGGGAGGGGUGAGAGGGGAGAAUGAAAGAAGAAAAAAAGAAAAUAACCAGUCUGAUAAGGAUUUGUUAAAUAUAGUUUUCAUAGCAAUAUUGGAAUUCCACUUUCCAAGUCAUAAACGUAAGGAGAAUUAUUAAUGGGCUAGGUCUGAAAUCUGAGUCCUGUACAUUGGUAUGCAUAGUUCACAAUUAUUUUAAAUGAGCUUUCUUUUCCAUUUCUUAAUUGAUAAAAAUGUGUAGACACUUAUUGUAGACUCAAGAUUAAUUGAAAUAUGCAUACAUUUCAAUGACCGAAUUGGCUUAAUGAAUGCAAACUAUGCCUGAUUUCCCAAUUCAACGAGAGUACUGCUACUGAUGUGCUAGUUUCUUUGGAAUAUUUUAUUAUAUAAUUCAGUAAAAUUUGUUAAACAUUCUAUAGAUUCUUUGAGAGUUUUAUAGGAUGUAUUUAAACAUAUUUCUACCCACGCCUUACAAGUCCACCCGACUCUUCCCUACUCACUGCCAAUUUCAUGUGCUCUGUUGUUUUUCUUCUUGGUAACCUAUUAAGUCCAGUUUGCAAUGCCCAUAUACCCCUGGGUAUGGGGCCAUCCACUGGACCUAGCAAGGCCCACACUUUCUCUUUUCCCAGAAUGAAUUCGCUGUCAACAGCGCCUCAGUCAGAGGUGUGGUUUGUGAGCCCCUUCGCCUCUAAGGCAACUGUCCUGUCACAUCCAAAGGACAAUGCUUUGCUCCCAACCUUGAGUAAAUAUAAGGAUCUGCUCAGACUUGGAGUUCUUACAAGGAAACAGAGCCUUGCAUACCUCAGCUGCCCUGCGGUUUCCUUUACUUCAGUCAUUACCAACCCUGUCUACUGAACCCUUUGAAGUCAUUGAUACAUAUUGUAAGAACUUCUGACUUCUGGCCUUAAAAUUGGGUCAUAGAAGCCAUGAAUCCAUUUAAAGUCCCACUUCAGUUUUUCUGUGCUCCAAUAUAGUUCUGUCCCUUGUGUGCUCUGGGGAUGUUAUUCUUUCCCAGAAUGCCCCUCUUUACAGAGGACUUUUGACUGAUCUUAAAAUAAAAUGAGAACACUGGGGUCAAUC